rnacentral:rRNA from 1 species
GCUACACAUGCAGUCGAGCGGUAACAGAAAGUAGCUUGCUACUUUGCUGACGAGCGGCGGACGGGUGAGUAAUGCUUGGGAACAUGCCUUGAGGUGGGGGACAACAGUUGGAAACGACUGCUAAUACCGCAUAAUGUCUACGGACCAAAGGGGGCUUCGGCUCUCGCCUUUAGAUUGGCCCAAGUGGGAUUAGCUAGUUGGUGAGGUAAUGGCUCACCAAGGCAACGAUCCCUAGCUGGUUUGAGAGGAUGAUCAGCCACACUGGAACUGAGACACGGUCCAGACUCCUACGGGAGGCAGCAGUGGGGAAUAUUGCACAAUGGGCGCAAGCCUGAUGCAGCCAUGCCGCGUGUGUGAAGAAGGCCUUCGGGUUGUAAAGCACUUUCAGUCAGGAGGAAAGGUUAGUAGUUAAUACCUGCUAGCUGUGACGUUACUGACAGAAGAGCACCGGCUAACUCCGUGCCAGCAGCCGCGGUAAUACGGAGGGUGCGAGCGUUAAUCGGAAUUACUGGCGUAAGCGUACGCAGGCGGUUUGUUAAGCGAGAUGUGAAAGCCCCGGGCUCAACCUGGGAACUGCAUUUCGAACUG